UAUAGUGGAAACAUUAUAGCCGCAAGGCAAAUGUGAAGGUGCUGCAUGGUUGUCGUCAGCUCGUGCCGUGAGGUGUCGGCUUAAGUGCCAUAACGAGCGCAACCCUUAUCUUCAGUUACUAACAGGUCAUGCUGAGGACUCUGGAGAGACUGCCGUCGUAAGAUGUGAGGAAGGUGGGGAUGACGUCAAAUCAGCACGGCCCUUACGUCCGGGGCUACACACGUGUUACAAUGGGGGGUACAGAAGGCAGCUACCGGGCGACCGGAUGCCAAUCCCAAAAACCUCUCUCAGUUCGGAUCGAAGUCUGCAACCCGACUUCGUGAAGCUGGAUUCGCUAGUAAUCGCGCAUCAGCCAUGGCGCGGUGAAUACGCUCCCGGGCCUUGUACACACCGCCCGUCAAGCCAUGAAAGCCGGGGGUACCUGAAGUACGUAACCGCAAGGAGCGUCCUAGGGUAAAACUGGUAAUUGGGGCUAAGUCGUAACAAGGUAGCCGUACCGGAAGGUGC
rnacentral:rRNA from 1 species